rnacentral:tRNA from 1 species
GAGGGUAGAGCUCAGUGGCAGAGGGCAUGCUUAGCAUGCAUGAGGUCCUGAGUUCAAUCCCUGGUACCUCCA